UACAGAGGGUGCAAGCGUUGUUCGGAAUUAUUGGGCGUAAAGCGCGUGUAGGCGGCUUUGCAAGUCGGGUGUGAAAGCCCUCGGCUCAACCGAGGAAGUGCGCCCGAAACUGCAGAGCUUGAGUACCGGAGAGGAUGGCGGAAUUCCCCAAGUAGAGGUGAAAUUCGUAGAUAUGGGGAGGAACACCGGUGGCGAAGGCGGCCAUCUGGACGGAUACUGACGCUGAGACGCGAAUGCGUGGGUAGCAAACAGG
rnacentral:rRNA from 1 species